rnacentral:lncRNA from 1 species
CUGCUGCUGCUGAGGACAUUCACUGUGCUGGGGACCAAAAGUUAGGUUUGACCACUGCAUUGAUCACUGUUCAGCAGUGAUGCUGAAGCUCUUCAAGGCUGCGCUGCUCUGGAGCAGCCAUCCAGAGCCUGCUCCUUCUGCCCUUGCAUCAGGGUCAGCUUUCAAGAGCCCAUUUGACUGCUGGCUGUGUGAUGCAAGCACAAGGGCUUUAUACAGGUAAACACGUCGAGAAUUUUGCCUGUAGUGUUUGCCCAGCUAGACCAUAAAGAAUCCCUGUGAGCGGGGGGAGCUGGUGACACUGAACGGCC